GAGGGUGCAGGGAGCGCCCCAUUAGGCCCGCAGAGACUACUUGGGCCAAAGCAAUCUCAGUAUGACUUCAGGAUCGAGGGCAGGUACCACUCGGAUCUGCCAAGGGCAUUUCGUCACUUCGGGGGCCCAUGCCAGUCCGAGCCUCGCCCGAGAUGGGACAGAGGCGCCCGGCGUAUUCAGCCAAGACGCCAGGCUUGGGAUGGGCAAGGGAGGACACGUGGAGCGCAGAGGCACAGGUGAAGCCGAGGGCACACUGCUGAGCAGGCGUAGGGCAAAGUUCUCGCUUCCUUGAGUACUGCCAACGUCCCGACUGUUAUUUAGAUGGGCGAACUGAGACACUAAGGGUUAACGUGCUGGCGAAGUGACUGCCGGGAUGUUUUGCCCAGAAACUGAGAAUGAUUGAAGGCAGAAGUAAGGCAGUCUAACCUUUGCAGGUCAAAAACCAGCUGGAAGGGCGGGACUUGGAGUUGUGGGUGCAAAACCUACCUGAGGUAUUUGGGUCUUAAGCUUGGUUUGUCCCCUCUUUUCAGACUCUGACUGGCCGGUGCUGGCAGGAGUCGGUUCGUACUGUAGUGCCCAUAGGCCAAAAGGCAGCAAUCCAUAGCAAACUUCAAAAUUCACCCUUAGACCUUAGACCGUGUGCGAAUACCGUACCCUGUAUGUAACAGCCUCCUUUGUUUUGACUUAAAAUUCAUACCGGCUGUCCAACCAUUGUCAGGUAAAAGCAGCUCAGGUCCAUUUUAGGAUUACCUGCCCCUAAGGGCAUUGGCCUUGGGGCUACUCUUAUCCCAGCUGAGAGGCUGUGGUUCUAAGUUAUGGGAACUGAUCAAAGGCUGUGCGAGGGAGGGUUGAUUUGCCUGGCGGGAGUAUGCCGGAUGGGUCAGCGGGAAGGAGAGUUGUGGCCUGAAGGCUGGUUGAACACUACCGUAAGCACCCGUGUGCUCUGCCACGUGUUAAGUUCAGGCCCCACAAUAUCCCAUCUUCUCUGCACCCGAAACGGGCACUUAGUAGCUGUGGAAAUACCCCACUUUGUCCCACACCCGGCACAGACCACCAUUUACCUAAAUUGCAGCUGGAAAGGGCUAUGAUCCAACUUGCCCUAAUUCUUCCCAAGCCCCUCCUGGAGUCUUAUCUGGUGGUUCUCUGGGUGUCCUCAGCCUGCCUAGACCUGCCAUAAGCCAUGACUUCUGAGCAAUCCAGGCUGCCUCAAAGCUGGUUUAAAGAUGCCUUUUCUAAUUCGAACUGCUUUGUGGUUUGCGUGCCCUCCCCCCACCCCCUCAAGAAUCCUUCCUCUAAGUGUUCACAGAUAAUAAAGUGUCAGGUGAUGAGCAAAUAUGAUGAUCUGUUAUUUGAUCUUAGGAAGAAAUGGAGCCUGGUGAGGUGGCACACACCUUUUGUCCCAGCACUCUGGAGGCAAAGGCCAAGGCAGGCACAUCUGUAAAUUUGAGGCCAGCCGAUCUAUACAGUGAAUUCCAUGACAGCCAGAGCAAUAGAGAGAGACCCUGUCUCAAAAAAAAGAAAAGAAAUAGAAUGGAAUCCUGACACUGCAAAAUUAAAAACACCCUAUGUGAUAUAAGACAAACCCAAAGGGACAGAUAUUAUAUAAUUUCACGUGUUUGUGUUGGAGGAGGCGACUCUCAUCUAGCCCAGGCCGGCCUUGAACUCUCUGUAGCUGAAGAGGAUGACUUUGAAUUAUGGAUUCUCCUGUCUCCACCUCCUGUGUGACAGAUGCCGCCGAAGAGACUCAGGAUCACGUGCAUUGAAGCUUCAGCAGAGAGCUAGAAGGGAACGAGAGACCACAUUAUUGAGAUCCUCAAAUACAGGAUGCUCAAACACUCUUGGAUGGCGAUGGCACAGCGAUGCUGUGUGCCCGACAACCAGCGCCAGCUUGUCAGCUUCCUGAUACUGAAAGCGCACGUGUGCUUCGAGCUCUAGCCUGGCUAUGCUGUGACAAGGACUGAAGAUUGAACCCAGGCCUCAUGCACGCGAGGCAAGUGUCUACCAUCGAGCUAUAGCCUCACCUCCACCACGCCCCAUUCAAAAAGCUGAUUUUUAAGGCGCAGUGUGUAUACACCGUGACGAGAAAGCAAAUGUACUUCCUGCAUUUGCUUAGGUUGUCUCUGGAAGCACAAGGAACUGGCAGCAGAGGUUGCUUCUGGGGUUCUCCAAGGGCCAUGAGGUUUAGGGGGAAAGGAUGUUAGUUUUAACUCCGUACACUUUUGUCCUGCUUGAGCUUUACUGACAUAAUCGUGUUUUUGUUUUAUUGGGAUUUUUUUUUUCAUUAAAAAAAAAAUUCUUACAUUUACUUAGUGUGUAACAAAUAGGUACUUAUGUGUAGGUCCUGGGGAUGAAACUCUGGCACUUAGCCAGUUGAGCCAUCUCGCUGUCCCUUUUUAAAAACUUUUCAGAGGCUGGAAAGAUGGCCCAGAGAUUAAGAGCAUUGGCUGUUCUUCCUAAGGUCCUGAGUUCAGUUCCCAGCAACCACAAGGUGGUUCGCAACCCUCUACAGUGAGAUCUGGUGCCCUCUUCUGGUGCACAGGUGUACAUGCAGGCAGGACGCUGUAUAAAUAAUAAAUAAAUUAAUCUUAAAAACUUUCAGGGAGGGUCUCAUAUAGCUCAGGCUGACCUCAAAUUUGUUAUGUAGCUGAGGACAGACUUGAACACUUGAUCCUCCUGACCUUCCAAGCCUUGGGGCUACACUUGUGUGCUACCCUACCAGCAAAACCAGGUAUGUUAAAUAAACUAAAUAGAAAAAAAAAUUUUCAGCUCCAUAGCAAGGAUGAUCUGGAGAGCACUAGCAGAGGAACAGAAUGCACCUUCUCUCUGGAGACAGCAGAUUAGACACUCAGGACAUGCUUUCUUUCUAGCAAUGAAGGACUAACUCAGCAGUGGUUGCUGGAGAGGUGAUUAAGUCACAGGAUGUUAUAGUUGGAAGGGACUUGAUUGCCACACCUUAGAUACAAAGUCUUUUGUUGUUGUUUUGAGACAAGUUUUCUCUGUGUGGCGCUGGCUGUCUUGGAACUUGCUCUGUAGACCAGACUGGCCUCAAACUCACAGAGAUCCACCUGCCUCUGCCUCUCGAGUGCUGGGAUUAAAGGGAUUCAUCACCACCACCCAUCUGACAUUAAUUACGAGGUCUUAAGUGAGUUUACUGAAGCCAAGAGAGAAGCAAUUUGCCUCAAGCCAGCCAGCAUGAGCCCCUCACAGGACUGCUGUGGAGGAAGCAGAAAUGGCCUGGAGAAGCUACCAUUCCCCUCUGCCCUUCUAUACAUAGAAGACUGGGAAAACAGCAUCAUAGACAAGCUGAGUUCUAUAACCAUCCAUAUAUAUAUAUACUUAUAUACAUAUAUAUAUACAUAUUUAGAUCUAUCAAGGAAAAUUUGGAAAGUGAUGGAAAUUGUAGAGAGAGGCAGACUUACUCUCUUUGGGCCUCAUUCUUGAGAAUGACAAGGUAUGUUUGGACUCUAGAGUCCUCUAGACCAGUAGUUGGUGAAUUAUGGGUCGUGAGCCGUAACUGGCCGACCCUUUUAUUUUGUUUUUACAAAUAAAGUUUUGUUGGGAUAUAGCCAAGUUCAUUCACUUAUACACGGACAUGGCUGCUUUUGUGUUAAAAAAUGUCAGAAGUGAACAGUUUCAACAGAGACACUGUCGACAAAGCUUAAAAUAGAUGCUAUUUGUCUCUCAUUGAUAAGCUUUGUUGACGCUUAUUCUAGAUCAGGCUUGGAGAAGUGAGCCAAGUGGCUUAGAAUUAUUGGCUUAUGGCCGGUUACACACAAAUGCCUGUGUUUCGGCCCUGGUCAGCCGACAACUUUUUGAGGAGAGCCAUGCUUUGGCUUCCUAACCCAUGGGCGCUCAGUUUCUGCCCUGUGAUCAGCCGCCAUCUCGAAUGAUUCCUGGGCAGAAGGGAGAACCAGUGUGGAGCUGAUCCCUUCCUUAAGCCAGGGCUUAGUCAAACCUUGUCUUUUUGGAGAACCCGAAGCUACCUCCAGCUCUCCCAUGGUUAGCUCUCACAGAGACUAAACUUAGGAAACCACACUCCACAGCUGGCAAGUAGCUUGAGUGGCAGGAAGGGAAAGAAUGCAGCAGAGCGCUCACUUGGGGGCUCCUCCGUCAUGACUGAACUUGGGAGUUUUUCUAGCCAUUUCCCUUCCUCACCAGAACGCACUGACACAAUCGCUGUAAACCACAGUGAGGGGACUUUUAGGGACCACUCUUACCUGUGGUACUGGCGCUUGGGCUGUUUGGUGAAAGAGGGGUGCUUAUGGAAAUGCCUGCUGAGGUAGAUUCUCAAAUCGGCCCCGUGGGAGAACCAGCCAGGUUAGGAACCAAGGAGGGGUUGGCAUCACUACCUGGAGCUCUUACCUGGAGAGGGUGGCUCUGUGGCAUUGGGAGGCUGAGUUGUCCCCGAGGGCAGAGAUGAAUUACCGUCGGGCUGAGUUAUACCCCCUGGAGGACUGGUACUGCUGGGAUCCACGGAGGAGUUGGCAUCGAUAUUUGGAGACGUUACUAGAGGAGGCUGUGUGGAUGUAUUGGUAGGCUGGUUAGUCCCCUGUCCGUCAGGAGGCUGAGUUGUCUCUGAGGGCACAGAUGAAUUAUUGUCAGGCUGAGUUGUCCCCUCUGGAGGACUGGUACUGCUGGGAUCCACGGAGGAGUUGGCAUCGAUAUUUGGAGACGUUACUAGAGGAGGCUGUGUGGAUGUAUUGGUAGGCUGGUUAGUCCCCUGUCCGUCAGGAGGCUGAGUUGUCUCUGAGGGCACAGAUGAAUUAUUGUCAGGCUGAGUUGUCCCCUCUGGAGGACUGGUACUGCUGGGAUCCACGGAGGAGUUGGCAUCGAUAUUUGGAGACGUUACUAGAGGAGGCUGUGUGGAUGUAUUGGUAGGCUGGUUAGUCCCCUGUCCGUCAGGAGGCUGAGUUGUCUCUGAGGGCACAGAUGAAUUAUUGUCAGGCUGAGUUGUCCCCUCUGGAGGACUGGUACUGCUGGGAUCCACGGAGGAGUUGGCAUCGAUAUUUGGAGACGUUACUAGAGGAGGCUGUGUGGAUGUAUUGGUAGGCUGGUUAGUCCCCUGUCCGUCAGGAGGCUGAGUUGUCUCUGAGGGCACAGAUGAAUUAUUGUCAGGCUGAGUUGUCCCCUCUGGAGGACUGGUACUGCUGGGAUCCACGGAGGAGUUGGCAUCGAUAUUUGGAGACGUUACUGCAGAAGCAGGCUGCGUGGAUCCAGCAGGAGUCUGGGCAGACGUCUGUCCAUCAGGAGCUGUUCCCAAGGAUGCAGAUGCGCUAUUACCAUUGGACUGAGCUGUCACAGGUCUUGCUAUAGAGUCCAUCUGGCCUCAAACACAUAAUCUUCCUGAGCGCAGGACUAAGGCCAGAAGAGGAGCACCGGUAUGAGGCCUAACCCACACUGGAGCUGCUCUUUUGCGCAGAUGAUCUCCAAUUUCAAGUGUUGGUGAAAACAGAGAUAUUUCCCCUGUUCUGGGCCUGGCUCUCUGAUGAUCACGGGAACAAAUCCAGCUUGCUACAGUAGGGUACCUGACCCUUGAAAUAGCAAAUCAUCGUUAUUCAACUUCAGACGACCCUUUGCCCUGCCGAAGUCCUCUGCCCUGUCCCGAAGUAAGCCAGAGACGUCUUUUGCUGCUGUUGUCUUUUCCGUCACAAAUGAAAAGACCAGCAUCACUGAGCUGAGCUGGGCAAGGAAUUUCACUCACAGAACGGUCCCAAUCGAGACUACCAGUAGCUAAGCUGUAAGAAGCGGCAGGUGAAAGCCUGAUGUUUCUCUCUGAGACUGCAAAGCUGGCCAAGUAAUCAAGUUACAACAAGAACAACGUUUUCUUACCCUCGAUCACCAAAAGGAGGCUGAGAGAGACAAGCAGGAAGGCUUUCAUGUUAGCUGCUCUUGCUAGAUCGUCUGAGGAGGAAA